GCCCUCUCAGGAUCGCACCUGGAGAGUUUCCAGUACUCUACCAGUCUUGGCAAUGGGAGGAAAGUCAAGUAGAGGCCUACCCAUUCUAUUUCUAGCUUGGUCAGUGGCUACUGAGUGGAAGGCAGUAUGCUACAAGU